AAUAAAUCAAUUUUUCACUUUUUACCUUUAAUUUUUGACUUUUCGUUUUAUUUAAAUUUUUUUUCGAUUAAUAUUUUUGUUUUUAUUAGAUGAUAAAUCAUGAAUAGUACUUUACGUGUGACUAAUUUUUUUUCUAAUUUUCUAAAAUAAUUUUAAAUAAGACAGAUGGUUAAACGUUGGACAUGUAAACCGAAAGAUUCGUUUUUU
rnacentral:pre_miRNA from 1 species